CUGCGGCCGUGAGAUGCAGGAGGAGAUGGGACGGACAGGGGAGAGCGGCUGAGGCUGCGGGCUGGACGCAGCCAGGCCAUGGGGCAGCUGGAGCUGCUGUGGGCGGCUGCCGCACUGAUGCUGCUCGGGGCCAUUGUCAGCCUCUGUGUCAAGUGCCAGCUCUCUGCCACCAAGCGCAAGAAGCAGCAGAGUGAGCGGAG
rnacentral:lncRNA from 1 species